rnacentral:lncRNA from 1 species
UGUAACCGGUGAUAGGUCGAUGGCUGUACCGGUACACAUUUUGUACCGGUACACUUUUGAUGGUUGUACCGGUACACUUGUGGCGAAUUUCAAACCCGAGCCUCGGGUUUGCAUUUUCGUAGGAUUUGUACCGGUACACUUUCCCGUGUACCGGUACACUUUGGCAGAUUCUGAGCAGUUUGAACUACAGGGGGUUUUUCGC